ACAGGGGUGGGCCUUCAGCGACGUCUUAAAGGUGGUCCUUCGGCUUCGUCACAGGCGCUGGCGUUCGGCGACGUCACCUGGGCGGUGCGGUGCUUGGAGCUGGGUAGUCUUCUUAGAGUGGAACCUGGUAACCGCGACCUCCCCGCCAGGUCCUGUGUGUUGCUGGCUGGAAAAGGGUGGCUGACAAACUCCGACCCAUUCACAGUGUUUAUGUGGUCAAAAAUAGAAAACUAUGUCCGGGCGCGGCCAGCGGGAGGAGCCCUUCAGGCCAAGAGCAGCCUGGCAGCGUGGCGCGACCCCAUCUCUGUAGUCUUACCUCAGCUCCCCAGCUACUUGAACCCUAAGGUUCAAGGCUUCAGUGAGCUAUGAUCCCACCACAGCAUUCCAGCCUGCGAGACUGAGAUGAUGAUGAUUCUCCACCUUCUAAGAGACCAAAGACCAACGAGCCACCACAGCCACCAGUCCCAGAACCCGCCAAUGCUGGGCAACGGAAAGUGAAGGGGUUCAACUCUGGCCCUCACAAUCCAGUGGAGGAGGUGAAACUCAUCUGCCUCUGUCCCUUUGGUUGCCCCUCAUGCCAGGUGCAUCAGUGGACAUGGGCCAUGCUCCUGGGCCUCCGAUGUUGGAGAAGGUUGCCAGGCUCAGUUCUGAAGACCAGAAUUCUAAAGUAAGUCCCACUGAGGCAAGGUUUGAGCAGGGUUGUUACCUUCCGAGGCUCUGCGGGCGAAUCUGUCUCCUGGCCCUGGAGGCAGCCUGCACUUCUCAGCUUGUGCUGCACGUCCUGAAUGACUGGAGUUUCCUGCUUCCAUCACUACACCUCCUACCCUCUCCAUCACCUUCUCUGCUCUUAUAAGGAUCCGGGUGAGUACAUCAACCCUGCCAGUACAAGCCAGCCAAAGACCCUUAACUUCAUUGUAUCUGCAAAGCCC